rnacentral:rRNA from 1 species
CCUACGGGAGGCUGCAGUGAGGAAUAUUGGUCAAUGGACGAGAGUCUGAACCAGCCAAGUAGCGUGAAGGAUGACUGCCCUAUGGGUUGUAAACUUCUUUUAUAUGGGAAUAAAACGUUCCACGUGUGGGAUUUUGUAUGUACCAUAUGAAUAAGGAUCGGCUAACUCCGUGCCAGCAGCCGCGGUAAUACGGAGGAUCCGAGCGUUAUCCGGAUUUAUUGGGUUUAAAGGGAGCGUAGGUGGAUUGUUAAGUCAGUUGUGAAAGUUUGCGGCUAAACCGUAAAAUUGCAGUUGAAACUGGCAGUCUUGAGUACAGUAGAGGUGGGCGGAAUUCGUGGUGUAGCGGUGAAAUGCUUAGAUAUCACGAAGAACUCCGAUUGCGAAGGCAGUUCACUGGACUGCAACUGACACUGAGGCUCGAAAGUGUGGGUAUCAAACAGGAUUAGAUACCCCUGUAGUC